rnacentral:lncRNA from 1 species
AUUUAUUCAUGUCUACUAUCCAAUGUGAUUCGUGUGCUUAUAUGAUUACCUUGAAUGUGAUUUAGAACGUCAUUUCUAAAUCUCAUUCAUACUCUGGCCAGAGAUUCUAAAUCAUAUCAUAGAGUAUUCUCCCUCAAACAGUUUGAAGGUUAGAGAUCCCUUGUUGUGCAUUCACUUGCCUCCAUGGCUAAAUGGCUUAACCCAACGAUGCCGUGGACACUCCAAUGGAAUGACGUUUGACAUAAUCAAAUAUCAAGGACUUAACCACAAGACAACGAUGAUGCCUCAGGUCAAAGGACUACUUUGCAUUAUCCCAACCAUGAGUUCUCAUGUGACAUGAAUAUGAGAACUCUUCGUUGAUCGUGUUCAAUGAACUCAUUCUCUAUUGAGCACCUACGUACUUGUCUUGAUGUCACACACACCAAUGACUUGAGACUAGUCACUCUCCCUGAGAGAAGACACAGCACGUACUGAUCUUAACGGAUUGUCAAUGCCCAAUUGGCAAUCCUAUGAUCAGGAACAUUUAGGAUGUGUCUACGAAAGAAUGGUCUUAUGAAUCUAACUUCAUUAGAUCGCAUUUUCCCAAUCACAUAUUCCUUGGACUUUAUCGUUUAAGCAUAUAACAUUUAUAUGAGACGGCUCAAACAAUAAUCUUUGCCCUUUAUAUUAAACUAGAUUAGUUUAACAUGUGAAAUGUCCGUAAAGUAUCAUCAUAUGAUUGGCUUUAGGGCACAUUUCCAACAAUCUCCCACUUGCACUAGAGCCAAUCAGCUUGUUCAUCAGUGAUGAUACCUCUUCUGUAGUCAUUUCAUAAAUGGCUGAGUAAUAGGCCCAGAAAAUGGAUAUCUAUAUGUUAUCCAUAGAAGCAACCUUGAGGAUAACGACGUCACCAUUAUACAUGAUUCUCAAUCAUGUGGUUCGGUCUCUCAUAUGAGUUCGGACCUUGAUGAGACCUUGAUUCCCUGGCUUGAGCUAUCGCCCCAUUAGUGUCAUACACUUUCUGGUUGGAACCGAAUAGAGAGUUCAUGAAUGAACUUUCACAUCCAAACAACAUUGUUGUAAGCUUCUUUAUGGCAAUAUAUUUUGUAUUCAUAAUGGAACACACUAAAGUCAUUACUUUAAUGUUUCCAUCCAAAUAUCUCUUUAGUCAUAAUA